rnacentral:rRNA from 1 species
UACGGAGGAUGCGAGCGUUAUCCGGAAUUAUUGGGCGUAAAGCGUCCGCAGGUGGCAAUGUAAGUCUGCUGUCAAAGCGUCUGGCUCAACCAGAUAAAGGCAGUGGAAACUACAUAGCUAGAGUAAGGUAGGGGUAGAGGGAAUUCCUGGUGUAGCGGUGAAAUGCGUAGAUAUCAAGAGGAACACCUGAGGUGAAGGCGGGUUGCUGGGCUGACACUGACGCUGAGGCGCGAAAGCCAGGGGAGCAAACGGG